rnacentral:piRNA from 1 species
CAUGGGGAGCAGCUAGAGCAGUG